rnacentral:rRNA from 1 species
UACGAAGGGGGCUAGCGUUGUUCGGAAUCACUGGGCGUAAAGCGCACGUAGGCGGAUCUUUAAGUCAGAGGUGAAAUCCCAAGGCUCAACCUUGGAACUGCCUUUGAUACUGGGGAUCUUGAGUCCGGGAGAGGUGAGUGGAACUGCGAGUGUAGAGGUGAAAUUCGUAGAUAUUCGGCGGAACACCAGUGGCGAAGGCGACUCUCUGGCCCGAUACUGACGCUGAGGCGCGAAAGCGUGGGGAGCAAACAGG